GUCCACAGUACCUGCAUGGCCCCAAGCUGGAGCUCUGGAUUAAUACUGAACCUCAAGGAAAAUCCUGGCAGCAGGUCAGUCAUUCCCAGUACCACGUCAGACCGUGGCUUCAGCAGAGCAUCAAUAACAGCAUGCCACAGCCACAACGCUACAGAGACAACAGCGAAGACAUCUCAGCCGGCCUGACAAGACAUCAACAAUUGCACUAUCAUCCGAGACGCGUACCUGACGCCACACAAACACAGCAGCACAAGAGUUGAGCACACAGCACCCCUGAAUGAAUACGGGGGGAUUCACAGGCCACCAUCCAGAAAGAGGAUGACGUAGCUACAUGUUUAGAGGGGAGUCUAAACACUGGGUGACAGCUCCGACUGAAGCAGGGUGCAGGUACAGCAACACAGGCCACCAUCCAGAAAGAGGAUGACGUAGCUACAUGUUUAGAGGGGAGUCUAAAGGAAACACACUGGAUGACAGCUCCGACUGAAGCAGGGUGCAGGUACAGCAACACAAAGGCUUUGGAAGAGACGCUGUUGGUGGAUUAUGUACAUGGGCCUAACCUCAGUCCUUUACAUGGACAUUAUUACAUACAUGUAUGUCCUAAAUGGCACCCUAUUCCCUAUAUACUAUAUAGUGCACUACUCUAGACCAGAGCCCUAUUCCCUAUAUAGUGCACUACAUUAGACCAGAGCCCUAUUCCCUAUAUAGUGCACUACAUUAGACCAGGGCCCUAUUCCCUAUAUAGUGCACUACAUUAGACCAGGGCCCUAUUCCCUAUAUAGUGCACUACUCUAGACCAGAGCCCUAUUCCCUAUAUAGUGCACUACAUUAGACCAGGGCCCUAUUCCCUAUAUAGUGCACUACUUUAGACCAGGGCCCUAUUCCCUAUAUAGUACUACAUUAGACCAGAGCCCUAUUCCCUAUAUAGUACACUACUUUAGACCAGGGCCCUAUUCCCUAUAUAGUACACUACUUUAGACCAGGGCCCUAUUCCCUAUAUAGUACACUACUUUAGACCAGGGCCCUAUUUCCUAUAUAGUACACUACUUUAGAGUAGGGCCUGUAGCCUAUAUAGUACACUACUUUAGACCAGGGCCCUAUUCCCUAUAUAGUACACUACUUUAGACCAGGGCCUGUAGCCUAUAUAGUACACUACAUUAGACCAGGGCCCUAUUCCCUAUAUAGUACACUACUUUAGACCAGGGCCU
ensembl:lncRNA